GCGGGGCAUUAUCGUCAACUUCCAAAAGAUACUUUAAUGCCAAAUGGUUUACAUGCAAUUUUUUUAAUAUUUUCCUAUUUUAUUAAUUAGAAAAACUUCACACUCUUUGGACUCAAACUCGACUAACGAAUAUUAACACUAAUGAAUCGAAGCGAAACACUUGACGGUUACAUACUGUUUCUAUCAUCAGUUUAUUUAUUUUUCCAACUAUUGUUCACAGAGGUUGAACAUUAAAUCUAAGUAGUUUCAAUGAAAAUGUAAAUUUAAAUCUUGAUUUAUUCUUUUAUAUACAUUUUUUAUUAACACUUAUUUUGCUUUACUCGCUAUAUAAUUUCAUUCUAUUAAUAUUAAAUUUUGAGUAAAUCGUGUAUUUGUAAAGGGGGAAAAGAAGUACGAGUCUAGUGUUUUUAGAAUAUUGAUUACAAAAUUUUAAAAAUAAAAUUAGAUUUAUGAUAAUUUUAAUACUUUUUAAUUUUUUAAAUUAAUUAACAUUUUUCAAUAAAUAUAGUGAUGACGUAAAAUGAAGUUACAGUUUCAACUUUUGUAGAGUUAGGAUGGUAUAAUGCUACUAUAAUCUACCCAAAUAAGUGUUAGGAUGGUAUUUUCGUAAUUUGAAGCGUAACCUCCCCCAGGUCGCAGAGAUGCGGACGCCAUUUGAACGUUCUUAGAAAUGAAAAAAAAAAAGAAGAAGCUGUAUAUCAAUGCAAAAAUAAAAUAAAAUAUUUAUACAGUAAAAUAAGAAAAAAAGAGAAAAGCAAAGAAACAAAACAAAGCAAAAACCUGCGUUGCGGAAAGAAACAUAAUCUGGAAUUCGGAAAGCAAAAUAAUCGUUGGUUGCUUUGUUCCUCCUCUCGCAGAUGGUAAGGGGAGGAAAGGUUAGUGGCAAACGCAAUUUCAGAAAAAGCGUUCAGUCAAAGGAGGGUGGUUCUGAUGAUUCGGAUGAGGACUAUGUAGUUUCGGAUGAGGGUAGAGAAGCAUCUGACUAUUAUUGCUCCUCGUUAGAUGGAUGUACUUCAGAGGAGAGUAUUGAUAGUUUUAUGGAGGAGGAGGAGGAGGAAGAAGAAGAAUUUAAAGGAUUGAGGAAUGUCAAUAGAUCAAAGGCAAAAAAAUCCAGUUCUGGUCGGCGGAAAAAUGCAAGUAAAAAAUCACGAAAGAGAGGAAAGAUUACACAUGCAGAGGAGGAGGAGGAGGAGGAUGAGGAAAUUCAAGAAGUGGGGAACUUCAAUAGGUCAAAGGCCAAAAAUGGUGUUUAUGGUAAGCAAAAAAGUGCAGGUAAAGCCUCAAUAGAGAGGGGAAGGAUAACACGUGCAGAACAACUAGAAGAAGAGGAGGAAGAGGAGUGGGAGGAGAAAGAGGAGGAGGAAGUGUGGGAGGAGAAGGAGGAGGAGUGGGAGCAGAAAGAGGAGGAGGAGGGGAAGGAGAAAGAGGAGGUGGAGUGGAAGGAGAGGAAGGAGAAAGAGGCGGUGGAGAAGGAGGAAGAAGAGAAGGUGGAGAGGGAUGGAGAUGAGGAAGAGGAGGAACAAGAAGAGGAUGGAGAUGGAGAUGAAGAGGAUGAGGAUUUUGACUAUGAUGAUGAGGAUGAUGAAUUUACGCCAGAGGAAGAAGAUUUUUCUGAUGAGGAAGAAGAAAUUAGAGGGGAGAAAAGGAAAAAUAAUGGCAUGAGAGUGGACAAGAAGGUUUUGCAGAAAAGGACCUCUUCAGUUUCUACCAGAGGUCGAAAAAGGCGGAGUUCUAGAGCAUCAAAGAAGCCCUUGAGAAACAAAUUAAGAAAGAAUGGGAAGUUAAAGAAGAAAGAAAGAUGUGACGACGGAGGUGAUUUUAUAGAUAAUGGCCCAGCCAUUAGGACAACUAGUUGGAAAAAACGAGGCCGGAAGAGGAGAAGGGUGCUUCUUUCAGAUUCAGAUUAUGCAUCUACUGGAUCAUCUGAUUUUGAGUAUACUAUAUCUGAAGAAGAGAGAGAACAGGUGAGAGAAGCCAAGGAAUUGUGCGGAGUUGUGAGAAAUAACUUGAGGAGUUCAUCCCAUCUAAUAAACAAUGAAGAGGUUGGUGUCCAUGAAGAUCUACAUCAGCAACGGAAGCCUCCUGGUCGGAAGGGUAAGGAAAAAAUAGAAGAACCUCAGGGAAAAAAGGGUAAGGAAAAGGUGGAGGAUUUAAAAGGUGAGGUGGGAAAGCAGGUGUGUGGAAUUUGUCUGUCGGAGGAAGAUAAAAGAAGAGUAAGGGGAGUUCUAAACUGUUGCACUCACUACUUUUGUUUUGCUUGCAUUAUGGAGUGGGCAAAGGUGGAAUCUCGCUGCCCUUUGUGUAAGCAGAGAUUCAAAACAAUCAGCAAGCCUGCACGAUCAACAACAGGGAUUGAUUUAAGAGAAGUUAUGAUACAAGUCCCCGAACGUGACCAGGUUUAUCAGCCCACUGAAGAAGAACUCAGGAGCUAUAUUGAUCCAUACGAGUAUGUUAUUUGUUCAGAGUGUCAUCAAGGUGGAGAUGAUGGCCUCAUGCUUCUCUGUGAUAUCUGUGAUUCCCCUGCACACACAUAUUGUGUUGGUUUGGGACGGGAAGUUCCUGAAGGUAAUUGGUAUUGUGAAGGUUGUAGGCCAGUUGCUUUGGGAUCUUCAAGCUCCCAAAUUCAAGAAGGUGUGGCUGAUUCAAGGGUGACAAUCCAGAGCCUUCCUGUUAGAUCACCUCCUGUUCUACAUGUACGAGAAAGUAUAGACCUAAACUUGAUUUCUUCACCCCGCACAGUUUUUAAUCAAGGAUUAGGGCCUCUUUCAUCUUCUAGAUUUCCUGGCAGAAGUGUUGAAGGAGUUUCUCCUGUGUCUGGAGGGGCACCAACUUUAUCAGGGAGACGCUGGAUACACCGACAAAUUCAACAGCUACUUUCAAUGGAUAGGAUGACUUCUACAGCUGGAAGAAGUAAUAGUAUUUCAGCUACCACUUCAACUAGUAACUUCCAUAGCUCUCAAAUUGAUCAAAGUAGGGAAACAGCCACUCAGCAUACCAGGACACAGGAUGUGGGAACAUCAUACCACACAUUUUUUGAUGAAAGAUUAUGCAACAAUAACUCUCCAUUAAUGCAGAAUGGAACAUUAUGGCCUGAACUUACAGGGACCCCCCCUGUACCUGAUUGUGAACAAGUCCAUCAGUUCAGUAGAUCAAACAUUGUCACUGAUGGUAGUUUAUCCCCUGUUGUCAGAGAAGAGACGAACUUUCACAUUGCUAAGGAGCAGUUGCAGUCAAUGGUUAAAAGCCACCUGAAGAGCAUGUCUCAAAAUAUUGAUUUAGGUAAGUAUUGCAUUUCUUCUAUCAGUUACAUAUAAUUUUUUUUUCUACCAUUUUUUCCCGUUUAUCAUAUGGGGAGGGAGGGCUUUUAGCCACAAUCGGGACUCAAACACAUAAAGUGGGGUCUUCCCCCACCAUUAGAGACAUGGUACAUGACUAUCUAUCAAACCACAAGGCCGGGAUCAUUACAAAAAAUCAGGACAGGCUUUCCUAUGAUGUGAAGAGAACCUUCAUAGAGGCCACAAUACAUUCAAGGAUGUUACAAGGAGUUCUAUGCACACAAUUCUAGCAGCUUGUGGUCUGGAGCACAAGAAGAGCGAAGUUUGCACUGUGCCAACCCCGUCUGUUUGUCCACACAUUGAACUAAUGGCUGGUGGGCAAACUAGUCUGAUUAAAGGUUGCUGUUCAUCUUGCUUUGAUUCUUUUGUAGGAGAUGUGGUGAAGAGGAUUUUGGACACAAGAAUUUCGUCACAGUGGUUACGAUUAGGUCUUUAGGCAUGAAAUUAUUGCAAUGUGUUCAAUGGCCCACCUUUUUUCCGUUAGGAGUUCAGAAAGACAAGAAUAUUUCAUUUACUUGUUCAUAUAUAAUAUGAUUCACCAUCUCUGAACUG